rnacentral:rRNA from 1 species
CACGCCGUAAACGAUGGAUACUAGCUGUUGGAGGUAUCGACCCCUUCAGUAGCGAAGCUAACGCGUUAAGUAUCCCGCCUGUGUAGUACGAUCGCAAGAUUAAAACAUAAAGGAAUUGACGGGGACCCGCACAAGCGGUGGAGCGUGUUCUUUAAUUCGAUGAUAAACGAUAAACCUUACCAGGGCUUGACAUCCUUGGAAUUUCUACGAAAGUAGAAAGUGCCUUCGGGAACCAAGUGACAGGUGA